GGAAGGCUUGGGGGUGGGUGGGGCGUGCAGAUGGCCUUCCCCCAGGCCUCUCUGGGCCCCCAGCCUCCUCCCGGAACCAGACCUGGGAGGGGCGUCUCUGGAAAGCCCUCUGAGGUCCCACCGGGCCGAGCGUCUGGGCCCGCGCCCUCGGCUCUUUCCACACCGUCGCUGCCGCUGCUGCAGCGAGGCACGGGGAGCCGAUGACUCACCCUGCCGGCUAAUUGCAGCGUUAAAUAACUUUGCGCUGGAUCCAGGGGAGGCAGGAGUGGCAGCAGCUAGAGAACGCGCUGGGGGAGGAGGGGACGGGGGAGGUGCAGGGGUGCUUUGAGAACACACCCGCGUUCCUGACGCCCGCUUGGCAAGUUCAGGCCUGGGAAGACGUCCCCCAGAACUCACAGCGUCAUGCCCCUUCCUUCACAGAGUGUCCAGGGUGCCCGGCGAGCAGGGGCACAAGCCCCCAGAGGCCGCUUGCGUCUGGAGAAAGCCUCACCCGCAUUCGCCAGGCAGCCCGCGCGCAGGGGUCCCUCGCCCACGUUUCACGGAAGCCAUCUGCCCAGUGAAUACAUGGAGACGAGGUUUGCAGCCACCUCCGUGAAGGAUGGAGCCGCUUCUCCAUUCCCAAUGCGGUGCCGCAGCAGCCCGAUUGAUCAGGCUUUGCGGGGAGAAGGGAGCUGACUCGCCUGGUCCUGCGCCCGGCCUCGAAAGAAGGCCUGAGUCGGCCUGGGCGGGCUGGGGGGCGGGGUCGUGCAGCAGCCUCUCAAAUCGAAAGACCUGAACUAGGCAGAAUCCUUUUCCCCAACCCCUGACGGUCUCACCUGUGAAGCUCCUCCCCUCCCAGCCACCCCGACAGCGGCCAGCGGGGACCCUGGCACAGCUGCGGUCCAGGAAGUGACUUGGGGGCCCCACAGUGAACUCUGAGGCAGGGAGCUCACUCCGGAAAGAAGCACCGCCCUCGUGAGAAAUGCCCCUCUAGGUGGUGAGGGGCAGGUGGGAAGGAGAACAAUCAAUAUUGAUCUUCACGUGUAGGUGCAGUGUGUGCGUCUCUGUGCCAACGCUGCACAAGUGAUGGUUCACGUAAAGCGCUCAGUCUCACAAAACCAGAGCCAGUGAAUUAUUGGCGAUACAGCAUGCACUUUACUAUUUUAUAAGCUUUCGUCUUGUACAAUAUAACAGAGCCACAGGAACAUCCAUAAAAUAUGCAUGGAACAGUUUAAUGACUUAUAUGAGCACCUGCGUCCUUGCCACCACAUCAGGAAACAGAACACUGAAGAUGCAAAGAUGCAGCUCGCCCUGCCCUCCCCCAAAGGUUCUGCUGACUUCACUGAAACCACUUCUUUGUGUUUAUUUGUACUUUGAUCACCUAAGCAUGCACCCCUAAACAUUUCAGUUUGGCUUUGCCUGUUUUUUGAACUUAAUACAAAUGGAAUCAUAGAGCAUGAUUGUUGCACAUCUGGUUUCUUUCGUCCAACUGAAUGCCUGUUGUUGUGUCUGUAGUUUAUCCCUUUUAAUGCUGGUACUAAGCCAUUGUGCGAAUGUGCCACAAUUUAUCCAUUUUACUGAUGAUGAGCAUUUGAUUGUUUCUAGUUUGGGGAUAUUAUGAAUAAAGCUGUUGUGAACUUUCUUA